rnacentral:lncRNA from 1 species
CACUUUGUUCUAAGCUCUUAUGGUCAUCUAGUAUUCUUUCUUCAGCAUAACACAUUGUCCUUCCCAGCUUCAUCAACCAAUCAAAUAUGCACACAAUUUAUUAGAAAGAAUUGAAGCUACAUUAAAAAAUAUACAAAGUGACGAAAAUAUUACAUAAUCUACAUGCGACUAAAUUAUGGGGAAGCCAUAGCAUGUAUUAUUUUUAAAAAAAAUGAAAAAGGAAGAAAAAAUGGCUGAUUGACUUUGAAAGGCUUUUAUAUUAAUAUGUUUAUUUUUACAUAUACUUAUCUAUUAUUGUUCUUCCUACGACAGCGUUUUAAUUGUUUUUUCUUGCAAAAUACAAAAUUGCUAAAAGAUAAAAAACACAUUCGACUUAGAAAAUAUUGAACCAUUUAGCGCAUCUUGUUUUAGGGUCUUCUGAGUCAAAUAUGUUUUUUAGUUUAGCAAAUUUUGUGCAGAGCAAAAAAAAAAAUGCCACAAUAGUAAAAAAAAUAAUAUAUAGAUAAAUAAUUUAAAAAAAAUUGAUAAUUUGAAAAUAAAUUUAUAAAAUAAUUGGCAAAUUAGUAUGAAAACCGCGCUUUGAAUAUAUAGCAAUAUACCAAGUCCCUAAAAAGAUUAGAAUAAAAUAAAAUAAAAAGAAAAAACAUUUGAAUAGAGAAAAUUUACCCUACGAAUUCCGCGAAUUCCACGUUCAUCGGUGAACACUCGAGCAAAGGAGAACUUUGUAUUUUCUCUUAAAUUCGGAAAAGCUUCUUUUGUCUUUAAAAUAUAUGUAAUUAAACAAUAAUAACAAUAAUUAAUAGUUAGCUCCACUAGAUAAAAUCGUCUACAAAACAGGGCAAUUAAUGAAAAGAAAGGGGAAAAAAUCAUAUAUGCUCCUCAAGGAAAUUAUAGAUAACAGAGAACACAAACACAUAAUGGUAAAUAAUGAAUCUUUUGUUUUAUGAGAAGUUGCCAUUUUUAUAACCUGAACACUACAUAAUGGACAAUUAAGUUCAUCACAUUUUGACAUCAUCCGACUAUAUAUCUUGAAACAAAAUUAAAACAACUUUUCCAUAACUAUCCAUGAUUUCACAAUUUAUGGUUAACGCUGUGGCCGCAAUAUUGUUAUUGUGGUGUGCACAUAUUUUUUUCUCUAUAUUAGCAAUUUAAAACCAUGGACAACAUUUAAAAAAAUAUCCAAAUUGAUUUUCAACCAAUUUUAAAUUGUAUAUUUUUAUUAUCUAAAAAUUCUUAAUAAUUAUUUCUGUUGCACAGAAUAAUGAUCUAUUUGUCAAUUUAAAAAUGACUAAUUUAUUUAUACGGAUGAUAUUUUUUAUGUUUAAUUGUCUUAUAAUAAAAUUUUAUUGGUAACUUAAAUUUUUUAGAGAUCAAUUUGGGUGUUUAAUAAAAAAAUAAAUCAGAAUAAUAAAAAAAUAAUAAAGAAAAGAGUUUUGUGCAUACUAUUUCAGUUAGGUCUCGAAGAGUGGCAUCAUCCAUCCGUAUAUGCGUAAAAUACCAUGGGAGAUAGAUCACUGUUCCUGCAAACUCUGCAUGG